GUAAGGACAUGUGGACAGUAUGGGAGUGAGAAUGUUGGCAUGAGUAGCGAGAUGUGGGUGAGAAUCCCACAGGCCGUAAACCCAAGGUUUCCAGGGGAAGGUUCGUCCGCCCUGGGUUAGUCGGGACCUAAGCUGAGGCCGAAAGGCGUAGGUGAUGGACAACAGGUUGAUAUUCCUGUACUACCGAUCACCGUUUGAGAGAUGGGAUGACACAGUAGGAUAAGCUAAGCACACUGUUGGUUAUGUGUGCCCAAGCAUUGAGGCAGUCAGAGUAGGUAAAUCCGCUUUGAUAAUGCUGGGAUGUGAUGGGGAGCGAAAUUU
rnacentral:rRNA from 1 species